GCUCGCGUAGCUCAAUUGGAUAGAGCCAACGGUUUCUACCCGUUAGGUUGGGGGUUCGAUUCCCUCCGCGAGUA
rnacentral:tRNA from 1 species